rnacentral:rRNA from 1 species
UACGUAGGGGGCAAGCGUUGUCCGGAAUCAUUGGGCGUAAAGCGCGUGUAGGCGGCUGGCUAAGUCCGCUCUGAAAGCCCGGGCUCAACCCCGGGAGGCGGGUGGAUACUGGUCAGCUCGAGUCCGGAAGAGGAGUGUGGAAUUCCUGGUGUAGCGGUGAAUGCGCAGAUAUCAGGAGGAACACCAAUGGCGAAGGCAGCACUCUGGGACGGUACUGACGCUGAGCACGCGAAGCGUGGGGAGCGAACA